rnacentral:rRNA from 1 species
GAUGAACGCUAGCGGCAGGCUUAACACAUGCAAGUCGAGGGGCAGCGUGGAGCAGCAAUGCUCUGACGGCGACCGGCGGAAGGGUGCGUAACACGUGAGCGACUUGCCCGUCACAGGGGGAUAACCGGCGGAAACGGCGACUAAUACCCCAUACGAUGUGAUGCUGCAUGGCAUUGCAUUGAAAGAUUCAUCGGUGGCGGAUAGGCUCGCGGGACAUUAGCUAGACGGCGGGGCAACGGCCCACCGUGGCGACGAUGUCUAGGGGUUCUGAGAGGAAGGCCCCCCACACUGGGACUGAGACACGGCCCAGACUCCUACGGGAGGCAGCAGUGAGGAAUAUUGGUCAAUGGGCGGAAGCCUGAACCAGCCAUGCCGCGUGAAGGACUAAGGCCCCUAACGGGUCGUAAAACUUCUUUAGACGCAGAGCAAUAAGGUCCACGCGUGGACCGAUGAGAGUAUGCGUAGAAU